UUUGUCUAAUGUAUUCAUAAUAUAUUUCGCACUCUACAAUAAUCCACCUAAAAAACUCUAACUUCUAUAACAUGGGCACAUUAGUCAUAAGACUCCCGACUACCCUGUCGUACUGGUCAUUAGUCGAACCCGCAGAAAUAUGAGUCAAUCCUAAUACGAGGUAUAUACAUACAUGACAUGAGAUAUGUAGGAAUUAAGAAAAGUUAUAUUUUAAUUUAUUAUAUCUUAUCG
rnacentral:lncRNA from 1 species